rnacentral:lncRNA from 1 species
GACAUAGCAUAAAGGUUGAAAUAAUGUGGAAUAAGGAAAUAAUAUAUUUCCAUAAAAAUUACGUGAAAUAUAAGAAAACAAAUUUUCCCAUAUGAAAAUAAGGAAACAAUUUAUUUUAUAAAAAAAAAUCCAUCCUAAUUUUGGUCACAAACCCAACAAUAUCCACAUUGACCCUUCUGGUGCAACGAACGAAACUCCAAGAUUUUAAAUACGUCUUCAUCGAAAUAGUCAAUAUCCUCAACACAGUAACUAAAACUUUCCAAACCAAACCGUCAUCCUCUGCAAGCCGUCCACAAGCAACACCUGAACCCAAAUCCCGAGAUUCCAAAAUUCCACCAAGAAAUUACUGUUAAUCAAAUAGGGUCGAAGCACACAUGUAGUAGAAACCAUACCACAUGCUGGAUCAAAAGGCCCCUUGCUAUAACUGUCGCCUUCAACGUCCCCAAAAACAUUCCAAACAUUAUUCACACCACGGUACCUACGUUCCAUGAGUUCAACCUUAGCAAAUGAACAGAGUGUAUUCGCUGAAAUUGGUGGCAAAAUGGAAUCACCAAUACUAAUUUGAGCAAUGUUUUGAACUGACCCAGAGUCCGUCACAAGAGGUACUGUACCAAACUGAGCAUCCAGUACGGUACUGAACUUGUCCGGAUAUAUCUUAACUGGUUCUGCGCUUCCCUACAAGACGUACAACUGAGAUUUUGUUCGUCCCUCCAAUACAACCCGGACAUCCAUUCGGACUUUCAAAACUCCACCUCCACUAGAGAAUUUAUAUCAUUUUGCAUCUAGAGUACUAAAUGAGAUGAGAUUCCUUUUAAGAUCUGAAACAUGUCAAACCUGAUCAAUUGUUCUAACUGUCCCAUCCCAUAGCCUAAGUCUGACUCGACCGAUCUCAGCAAUACGGCAAGAUUGAACGUUUUCCAUUACAACUCCACCUUGCUGGACAGCCUCAUAUGUCUAAAAGAAAUUUCGAUUGUAACAUAUAUGAUGCAAACAUACUGAAUCAAGAAUCCAAUCCUCGUUAAGCUUAGAUUCCACGUGAGAUAUCACGGUCAACAUCACAUUUCCAAUGUCUGAAAAAUUCUCAACUACAUUUGUUUCGUCUGAAGUCAAAGGUUGCGCUGCACGAUUUGCAGCUAAAUCACCUUUAGCCUGCAACUUAUCACAAUCCUUUGAAUAUGUCCCUUUUUCCUACAGUAAAAGCAGGACAAUUGUCGAAGUUCAUCCUCGAUCUAUCUCUCCGUCGAUUACCAUGAGAUACCAGAGCUUCCUCAUCCCUUCAUGUUGCUCCGACCAAAUGCUUCAACUUCUCCUUUGAGUGCAAAGCAUCAUAAACGUCGUCUAUAGUCAAAGUAUCCCGACUAUACAAAAUGGUAUCCCAAAACGACUUAUAAGAGCCAGGCAACGAACAUAAUAAGAUCAAGGAAAAAUCCUCUAUAUCGUACUUAACAUCUAACAUUUCCAAAUCUGCAAUAAUUUCCUUGAACACGGUAAUAUGGUUUUCCAACGACUCUCCUUCCGCUAUGCGAUGGGAAUACAGCUUCUGCUUUAGAGUCAGUUUACUGGUAAGACUCUUGGUCAUACAUAACUACUCCAAUUUCAACCACAAAGUAAUUAAUGUUUUCUCCUUCAAGACAUCCUGCAAAAUAUAGUUAGAUAAAUGAAGAUGAAUCAACGAUAAAACCUUUUGAUCCCUCCGUUGUCCAAUUAGUUUGCAUUUUCUCAAAAUCCAGCAACACAUUAUCCAAAUCCAACUGUGUCAAAAUAACUCCCAUCUUUACUUGCCACAAAGAAAAUCUUGUAUUGCGAUUCAAUUGCAGAAUAUCCUACUUCAAAGCAGCUGUAUCUGAAAAACCUCAACCAAUCUACAACAAGAACCAAGCUCUAAUACCACUUAUUGAACUCGGAAGGAUUUUAGUGAAUGAAAUUAAUGCAACGAUAUGAAGUAACGAAGAUCGCAAUGUGUAACAAUAUUUAAAAGUAAGAAAUUAACAAAAAGAGUUAAUCGUAGAAGUACGACAUUUUAUUAAUUGACAAUAUAGAGAGAAAUACAAGAGCUCGAUAAUUCUUGCUUGAACAAAACUGAAAAAGAG